ensembl:Y_RNA Y_RNA Y RNA
GACUUGUCUGAAGGUAAUGAGUUAUCUCAGUGGAUUGUUCACAGUCAGGUACAGAUUGAACUCCUUGUUCUACUCAUAUUGUGAGUACUGCAUUUGACUAGUCUAAA